rnacentral:lncRNA from 1 species
GUGAGAUUGAGCGGACUGCUUGGAAGUAUCUUACGUUUUGAGUAAGAAGGAAACUAUAUGACAAGGCCAGAGGGGGCAAGACCGGUGACCUUUGCUUUUGCAUGAGAGCUUUCACUUGCAUCUUACUCUGGAGGACUGCGUGACCCCGGGCAGCUCAGGGCUUCCUGGGAGGGUCCUGAGCCCCAGCCCAGCUCUCACAGGGAGACAAGGAACAUCCGGAGAGGUGAGGCAACUUGCUGAGAUCCUACCAGGAGACGGUGGUGAGAGGUAAGGGGCCAGUGGGCCAUUCCCCUUGCAGUAGUGGGUACAGUCAUGGGGAGAACUUUGGCAUACAGCUUCCUUCUCAUUGGGUUCAAUCAAAAGGAAAUAAAGUGAGAUGAAGAGUGGGAGGGAUAGAAGCA